ACAUACCGAAAUAAGAGCUGCUGACUCCCCUCUAGCAGUCAAACCUUGCAUAUAUAAAGGCUUUGGAGUGGCUAGAUUCAGCAUCAGUUGUUUCAAAGCAGCAGUUCUUCUAGCAACCCUUCCACACUCACUCAACAUGCCUUCCAUGAAAUUGAUGUUGGUCGUUUUGGCCGCUUUCGUCGCUUACGUCUCAGCCCAGUCCGGUUAUGCCGCACCGGCCUACUCUCCACCAGCUUACGCUGCUGAUUACAAGCCAGGCUACGCUAACGGCCGUGUGAAGAUGCAGGUGUACCGCGGACCCAACAAGGAAUACGGAAAAGGUUACGACAAGGAUUCUUUCGCUCCCUGGGGCUUUUACGUCACACAACCCGAAGACAACAAACCUUACGGAAAGGGCUAUUAAGGCUACUACUUGCCACGACUCAAAAUGCACCAUUGGCCCUGAUGAUUUGAUACCGUUUCAUCAUCACCACGAAAACGAACAAAUUCCGAAGAAAUUCACCAUCAAAUUCAACAAGAAAAAUUUUUAUUAUUAUUUGAAUGCAAUGGCAACAUGAUGUGGCUGGAUUCCAUAGAUUGUUGUCGUCGAUGACGUUGUUUUAAAAAUAUUUCCCAUCAAGAAAUAUAGAGUGUUUGAAAAGA